CCUUCGGCACGUCUGGUCCGCCCCUAUCGGGACCUACAGCCUAUCCGGACCGCUCGCUGGGCCUACGGGACAACCGGUCCGCCCUGGGUAUCUUGGCCUACUGCACACAGCAGGACCCGCCUCAACCCAAGUCCAGUCCAAGCAACCAUGUGCACAUACAUACAUACAAUCAUAAAACAAAUCACGGUCCACAAGCAGAUUUAACAGAUCACAUAACAUAAUAUCAUCCUACUCAGGAUACUGACCUAACAGGUAUCUAGCAUAGCGCCUCCCUAUCUCUUAGGAUACCGAUCUCAAUCAGUCCUCUAACAUAUACCAUCCUAACUCUCAGGAUGCAAACAUAUCUCAGAAACAACAUAUCAAUAUCAUAGCAACAACUACCCGGAUCUCAAUCCGAUAAGGGCCGGCCUUGGUGCCUUAGACCCCGUUGAUAUAGUGAGGAUAACUCACCUCGAAACUGCCGACUGAACAGAUAAUCCAAGCUACUCCGAUCACUGAUACGAUCUCCACCACUGGUCAACCACCAAUGCACUGAACUCAAAAUAAUAAUCAACAAUUACAAGAAUACCCCUGGAAACCACUGGUCAAUCCCUUGGUCAAAGACAAGGUCAAAGUCAACCCCUGACUGACCCUACUCGCCGAGUCAACCCUAUGACUCGCCGAGUUCCCAUACUCAGAACCUUACUCAAUCUGCGACCUAACUCGCCGAGUCACCCCGAGACUCGCCGAGUCCAACAACUCAGAGUCCACUCGCACACAACUCACCGAGUCAUCCCUUGACUCACCGAUUCUCGACUCAACCAGAGAAUAUCGGGACUCUUCGACAAGACUCGCCGAGUCCAAGAACAGACUCGCCGAGUCUAAGGCUAUCAUCAACCUACUCGCCGAGUUGUUCAUACAACUCGCCGAGUUCCAGGCUAUCUUCAUCCAACUCGCCGAGUUGUUCUUCCAACUCGUCGAGUCCCAGCUCAUCUUCAAGCAACUCGCCGAGUUCACCCAUGUGACUCACCGAGUACCACCGAUCUGAAUCCUUUCAGAAGCAUUCCAGGCCAUGCAAAUGAUCCAAAACAUAGAUCUAAGCUCAUACAACUCAUCCAUCACGUAAAGUGGCAAACUUUACGUGAAUCCAAAGAGAUCUAGGCCUUAUUCACUUAUAACUAGGGUUUGGGACAUGCAAGCUUCACUAAACAGUCCAACACAGGGACUUUCAUGCUCUCUGAUUCUUCUCCAUUUCAGAUCUGAGGUAGCAACCUCAGAUCUAACCUCUAGACUUCCAAUUUCAUCCAUAGACAAGAUCCCACAAACCCCAAAAUGAAGAAACAACAUACAAUCAGUCCAAGAACGAGAUAUUACCUCCAAUGGACGCCCCAACUGCAAUGAAAUUCGAAUCCAAGCAAAGCCCCUUGCCCCAAGCCUUCAAUCACACAAAAUUCCUUCAACAAACUCCUCCAAUGCUCCAAUUACACUCCAAUCUCCUUCAAUCGCACUUUCUAGGGUUUCUGGACUUCAAAGGGGAAUAAAGAGGCUGGGGGAAGGAUAUAAUGUUCUUUAAAUAGGGCUCAACCCCGAGAAUUAGAGUUUUCUCCACUCAGCGCCUACUCGCCGAGUCCAUCAUGCUGACUCGCCGAGUCGGCUACUUAACAGGCAACCCAGUCGCGACUCUACUUGCCGAGUCCACCAAUGGACUCGCCGAGUCACUCAUGCCCAAAUUCUCAUUUAGCCCUUCCACUCUACUCUUGAUAUUUCGGAAUGUUACAAUUCUCCCCCACUUAAAUUAGGCUUCGCCCUCGAAGCCUACAGCAGCUCAACUCCAAAGAUACUCCCGCAACGCGCCACCUGGCCUCAACCAGACCAGGUCCCUCAAAGCAUACCCAAACGAAACUCGAACACACUUUCCUUUCCUCAUGGUGUCCUGACCACCGUUUCAAAUAGGGCACCGGAUUCACCCUCUGAUAACUCCACUUAACCUCUGAGUACUACCCAUCAUGCAACACUGCUCCAAAUCACAACCAUCACUCGACUCAUAAAGACUAGAAAACCAUGAACCAUCGGAUCCCCGAUCCGAAUCCCACUCUAUCCAUUCCGUGACGACGGAAAAACCCAUUCUCUAUCUCAGAGCAACUCCCACGAGUCCUCCUCCUACAAUCACAUACACAUGCUGAACUAGCUCCAGCACCCUCAAGUUGGGAAAACCCGAUACACUGAUGACACCCUCAAACAUCCCCCAGGAUGAACCACUAAUGCAUGCCCAAUACCCUGAACAGAAUCACACUGAGAGUCCAGGACUCUCCCCCCCCUGCAUCCUUUCCAAGCCUCUUGGCUCUAUACCUGCGGAAUUCCUUCCGCAAUCUCAGCAGACAUCCCAAACCAGAUGAGCUUCUAUUCCACUUCCGCAACCACGAUGCCCAAAACCAUACUUGAAAUACUCUAAUCAUAACUCUGCUCUGGCGCUUUCACUUCCGUGAACUUGCACUCCCUCUCGGAGUUACACACCUUUCUCUCUUCCUUUUCCAAGGAAUCUACUUGGCCACAUUGUCACUCCAAAAAGAGCCAUGGUGCUCGCCCAAUGCGACACCACCCUUUUUGCGUAUCCGCUAUCCAUAUACUCUGGCUCUCAUCACAGGGGCUCUCAAGUCCAUGCACUAUCUCAACUCAUCAAGAUCAUUACCCGGGGCCAGAACUUCUAAUGCAAACACACUGCAACAUACCCCAAACCAUAUCCUCAACAUAUCCAACAAUACCUACAGAGUCUUCAGCAUGACUGGACCGCCUCACCAGGCCUUCAGCCCAUCUGGACCACUCUCUCAGAACAUUCAGCCAAUCUGGACCGCUCUCAGUGCCUUCAGUUUGGCUGGACCAUUCUCCGAGCCUUCGGCCUGACUGGUACGCCUGCCGGCCUUCAGUCUAUCCGGACCGCUCAACUAGCAUCCGACAUUCCGGGUUAUCACCUCCGGAAAUCCUCCCAUGCAUACCGUUCUAGCCCUCUAGGGGUUCCGAACUCUGUCUCCAUCAACAUACUCGAUCUCGGCCUGCUCCCAGGCCUCCACAAUCAAAUGCCCUAGGUCUAUCUCUCACCCCGCAUGCCUGACAUUCGCUCCUAUCAGCCUAUACUCUGUGCUGACAGAACACUACUGUAACCCAAUAACUAAGCACCCUCAAAUACUCACUGAUCUCCCGGGGAAUUCUCCAAUUCUCCCCCACUUAUAGCACUGACUAACAACCGCCAUUCGCCAUCAACGAUCUUCCAGAGCAACCCUACACAAAGAGACCACUUACACACUGACUGCUUAUCAUAAUCAUAAACAACCCUCAGCAAAACACAUCUCCUCACCGAUCAAUCCACUCAAAAGAAUCCAAUCUCCAAUUAUCCUCUCCACGACUGCAGAUGCCACCCGACAUUCAACCCAAUGCCGCAUCUCCACUAAUAAUCCUCACGAAAGAUAACCAAUAACAGCACAAACACCAAACUAUAACCAUACCAAACCCUCAGGGAAUAACGGAUACCAAAACGAAAACCCGAAACCCAAACCAUAACCAAAACUCCAACCCGCAAAAUGAAGAAUAUCACAACGAAAACCAAACAAAUACCGGCUCAUGAACAUUACACCACAAUAAUCACAAGAUAUCAAGAAAGAAACAUACCCGCAGCUUCAUCCGAUACUGCCCUGACCUCCUCUGCCGCAAGCUGAUAAGCACGACCCUGAGCCCUCGGGGGCUCUGCUCGACCCUGACCUCCACCUGUGAUCCUCAAAGUGGCCGGUGCUGGAGCCUGCACCGAUCCUGCAGCAAACUGUGGACAGUUGGCCCUCAAAUGUCCAACCUCAUGACAAUGAUAGCAGAUCCUCAGAUCCCAAACUGGUGUUGACUGUCGACAAUCCCUCGCAUAGUGCCCAUCCCUUCCGCACUUGCGGUAUGCACCACCGGUCCUACAAACCCCGGUGUGACCCUUCCCACACUUCCCACAAGUGUGGCUGCUCAAAUCCCCCACUCUAACAUCAACGGUCUUGGACCGUUUCGGCGCCGGCUGCGACUGCACCGGAGCCUGCCUCAACUCACGCAACUGCAACUCAAUCUCUAACUCACGCCGCCUAGCGGCCUCCUGCAACUCCAACAAGGUCUCGCACCUCUGCGCAGACACAAACUGCCUGAUGUCCCUCUUGAGCAUGCUCAGAUAUCGAGACAUCUGAGCCUGCUCCGAAGCGAACUCUGGGCAAAACAUCGCCCUCUCAGUGAACAUCCUGGUGAUCUCAGUCACCGACUCCGAAUCCUGCUUCAGCUCAAGGAACUCCUGAGCCAAUCUUUCCCUCUCAACUUGCGGAACAUAACGAGUACUGAACAUUUCUCUGAACUAAUCCCACGAAACCGCAGCCCUCUGCGCAUCCGAAUAUGACCCCAUGGUCAAUCUCCACCAAUCCUUCGCCCCGAGCCUCAACAGGUUCAGAGCACACCUCACCCUAUGAUCAGCAGGGCAUGAACACGUGAAGAAACACCCCUCCACGUCUGACAACCACCUCAUAGCAACAAUCGGGUCCUGAACUCUGUCGAAUGUGGGAGGCUUCAUCUUAUCGAAGUCCCGAUACUGAAAACCCCGACUAGCUCCUCCCCCUGCCGCUGCUACAGCCGCUGUAGCCGCCGCGGCAGCCGUCUCAGUGAGAGCCGCAUAGCGCUCAUCAAAAUACUCAACCAUGGCAGUCUUAAUCGACCCAACCAGCUCUGGCAACUCAGCCCGUAACAACUCUACAAUCUCAUCACGCAGGAUCUCACGAAUCCUCGCGUCCAACUCGCUCUUGCUCAUCUGACCGAUAACCUCGGGCGGCACCGAUUCGCCCGGAACUCUCUCUCCAGCUCCCGAUCCUGACCCGGAUCCACUCUCAUCAUGCCUCGGAAUCUCCAUGCUGAAAAGAAACACCACACAAAAUCUCAGACUCUUCCCACACCCUGGGAUCCAACUCUCUCAACCGAACCCUAGAGAUCAUGGUUUCCCUGAUACGUGUAUGGGUCUUGUGCUUUCAGUAGUACGGGCCCAUACUACCUUCCACACCUACCCAUAUUUGUAUGAAGUACUACCACAACACCCUAGAGAAACAUACCUAACAAUGCUCAAUUCUCACUACUAGAGGAACACUGAAAAUAUCUCAUAAGGGACCCUAGGCUACAGGCAUCACAAAUCAGGCAACACAUCAUGAAAUCCUGAAGAUCCCUAGCCUAUCUCUAGCAUGUUGUUUUAUCAAAGCUCAAAACAAAUAACAUGCAUGGUAUUUUGGGGGUUACUUACUAGCUCCGGCUGAUCGUACCUGCGCAUCCUCCCUUACUCAUUUUUGAAAACCGUUUUUAAUUAUUCUUUUGAAAACUCUCCUCGAUUUGAGACUGGAGUCACACGAAUGUUCCUCCAAUUCACUCAAACCAAGGCUUUGAUACCAACUUGUAACAGCCAAAAAAUGCCACAAUCUCCUGAAGAACCUGAAAACAUGAAACCAUAACUGUAAGCCCGAAAGCUUAGUGAGAUAUCCCCAAAAUACCAACCACAAAUACCAUACACGCAUAACAUGCCAUAACAUAUCCGAUCACAGAACAGCCAUGCUCUCCGGGUCUACUGUGUGAUUGGUCCGCCGCACCGGCCUAUAGACCACCUGAUCCACCCUCUGAGUCUAUCUGCAUACAUCGAGUCUGCAGUGUGAUUGGUCCGCCCGUUCCCGGGCCUUCAAUCCACCUGGUCCACUCUCUGAGUCUACAGUAUGACUGGUCCGCCCGCACCGGGCCUUCAGUCUGUCUGGUCCACUCUCCAAGCCUUCGGCACGUCUAGUCCGCCCCUAUCGGGAGCUACAGCCUAUCCGAACCGCUCGCUGGGCCUACGGGACAACCGGUCCGCCCUGGGUAUCUUGGCCUACUGCACACAGCAGGACCCGCCUCAACCCAACUCCAGUCCAAGCAACCAUGUGCACAUACAUACAUACAAUCAUAAAACAAAUCACGGUCCACAUGCAGAUUUAACAGAUCACAGAACAUAAUAUCAUCCUAAUCAGGAUACUGACCUAACAGGUCUCUAGCAUAGCGCCUCCCUAUCUCUUAGGAUACCGAUCUCAAUCAGGCCUCUAACAUAUACCAUCCUAACUCUCAGGAUGCAAACAUAUCUCAGCAACAACAUAUCAAUAUCAUAGCAACAACUACCCGGAUCUCAAUCCGAUAAGGGCCGGCCUUGGUGCCUUAGACCCCGUUGAUAUAGUGAGUAUAACUCACCUCGAAACUGCCGACUGAACAGAUAAUCCAAGCUACUCCGAUCACUGAUACGAUCUCCACCACUGGUCAACCACCAAUGCACUGAACUCAAAAUAAUAAUCAACAAUUACAAGAAUACCCCUGGAAACCACUGGUCAAUCCCUUGGUCAAAGACAAGG
rnacentral:lncRNA from 1 species